rnacentral:rRNA from 1 species
AACGAACGCUGGCGGCAUGCCUAACACAUGCAAGUCGAACGAGACCUUCGGGUCUAGUGGCGCACGGGUGCGUAACGCGUGGGAAUCUGCCCUUGGGUUCGGAAUAACAGUUAGAAAUGACUGCUAAUACCGGAUGAUGACUUCGGUCCAAAGAUUUAUCGCCCAGGGAUGAGCCCGCGUAGGAUUAGCUUGUUGGUGAGGUAAAAGCUCACCAAGGCGACGAUCCUUAGCUGGUCUGAGAGGAUGAUCAGCCACACUGGGACUGAGGCACGGCCCAGACUCCUACGGGAGGCAGCAGUGGGGAAUAUUGGACAAUGGGCGAAAGCCUGAUCCAGCAAUGCCGCGCGAGUGAUGAAGGCCUUAGGGUUGUAAAGCUCUUUUACCCGGGAUGAUAAUGACAGUACCGGGAGAAUAAGCCCCGGCUAACCCCGUGCCAGCCGCCGCGGUAACAC